CAAGACAUAGACAAAGCUAAAGUAAAUAGUGUAUUUCAUGUUCUUAUAAUUUUUAGACAACAGAUUCCAUAAAAGCUUACUUUGAGCCAAUAGUUUACUCAUUUCUAUGUAGAUAGAAUAUCUUGUGUAUUGUAAGGAUGUAUCACCUGUCAAUUAAAAAAGCCUAUGGCCUAUGACUUAGGCAGGAAAUAGGAGGCGGGACAUCCGGGAGGAAAAGAAUUCUGGGAUAGACCAGGCACCCGAUGAUCCACCCGAGAUGUGAGGAGCUGUACACGUGUACCUGAGCACAGAAUAACCAAGUCUUUGAUGUGGCAAGACCCUACGGAAUGUGGCAAAGAUAAGGCGGCCAGAGCUGCACAAUUUGAACUUCGUUGCCACACAGGCCAAAGGCAGAGGUGAUGGCGCUGAGAGGCAUCAGAAAGUGAGUAACAUUUGUGAGGGAGCACACUACCCAAUGAAGGGCUCUGAGCUUUUGCUGUGACACAAUAAGCAUUACCACUCCGCAGUAAAGAGAGAUGAGCAGUCCUGUUCCCCAAAGAGAAAAAUACACUCUGCAUGUGCCAAGUACUUAGCAUAGCAUUAUGGAUAGCAUCUGCCCGGGCUCUUAUCAUGAUGUAAAUUUGUCUUCUAUUCACUGACUUGAAGAGAAACAAAAUAAUGCAGAAAUGUGAAUGAAGCAACACACACAAAUUUUAUUAUAAACUUUCAUGGUAACCAGACUGUGUGGGUGCAGGGUACUUUAGGAGUAAAGAAAAAGAAAAGGAGGGCAAUUUAUCAACUUUAUUAUUUAUAACCCAUAUUGGAAAGCCAAUCUGUUUAUUAAUAAUAAGGCAAAUGCUCCCUGGAAUGGAAAUUUUUGUAAAGCCGAGGCAACAUAAUCGGAGUUUACAUAAAGCCCCUUAUCUGGUUUGUAUGAACUUGUUGACAAGAUUGUUUGUCAUCCCUUUUGGGUGAAACAUAAAAUGGAAUUUUAGUCACCAGGCUCAUAAAAACUGUAUUAUGUCGUGGGUUUUAGGAGCAGACACACUAGCAGUGAUGUUCUGGGGGAAUCAGCUUCAUAUUUCUCCUUUAUAUUAAGCUGCUGAAAGACAAAACUCGUAUUUCCUGCAAACUUGGUGAGACGUGCAGGUUCAGGCGACACAGAAGGUGUGCUGUGACAAAAUGAACCCCAGAACUUCGAAUAAUUAUGGAAUGCUAACCAAAGACCUUGAUGAGCUGAGGGCUGGCAUUCCAAGUUGGACGUAUAGAUUUUAUUAUCUUUAACUCCUUACAUGGAUGGCUUCUUCUCUUGAAUGACUUUGCUUCUAGAGAGCCUCUCCUAACUGCUCUUAGGUAGAGAUGUGUACAUCCCUAAGGUCCUUUAUUUAAAGGGGCAAAGCAUUCAAUAGGCACCAUAGAGAGUAGUGGACAGGAGUGGGAAAAGUCUUCCUUUUAUAAUGAGAUAACAGAGGAAACAAGGC
ensembl:lncRNA